GAUUCUCAACCUCAACGAAACUCCUUUCCGAAUUAUACAUCUAGAAUUUUGCCAGCUGUAGGAGCAUUUACUGUGCAGUGUGCUAACUGCUUCAAGUGGAGGCUCAUACCUACAAAGGAGAAGUAUGAAGAGAUAAGGGAACAUAUAUUGGAACAGCCUUUCUACUGUGAAACAGCCCGUGAAUGGCGUGCUGGAGUAUCAUGUGAUGAUCCACCUGAUCUUACUCAAGAUGGAAGUAGGCUCUGGGCUAUUGAUAAGCCUAAUAUUGCUCAGCCCCCUCCUGGGUGGGAACGCCUUUUAAGAAUACGAGGUGAAGGAGGCACCAGGUUUGCUGAUGUGUAUGUGUCUUGCAUUCCUUCCCUCCUCCUUUUGCCGUUAGUAGGUCUUAAAAAGUGUAUAUGAUUCUUCCCUUUUAAGCUAGGACAAAUACAGCCUAAUUAAUAUUUUUAAUUGCUUCAAGUGGAGGCUCAUACCUACAAAGGAGAAGUAUGAAGAGAUUAGGGAACACAUAUUGGAACAGCCUUUCUACUGUGAAUCAGCCCGUGAAUGGCGUGCUGGGGUAUCAUGUGAAGAUCCACCUGAUCUUACUCAAGAUGGAAGUAGGCUCUGGGCUAUUGAUAAGCCUAAUAUUGCUCAGCCCCCUCCUGGGUGGGAACGCCUUUUAAGAAUCCGAGGUGAAGGAGGCACCAGGUUUGCUGAUGUGUAUGUGUCUUGCAUUCCUUCCCUCCUCCUUUUGCCGUUAGUAGGUCUUAAAAAGUGAAUAUAUGAUUCUUCCCUUUUAAGCUUGAACAAAUACAGCCUAAUUAACAUUUCUC
rnacentral:lncRNA from 1 species